rnacentral:misc_RNA from 1 species
AGAAAGAAAGAAAGAAGGGGAAAAAAGGAAGAAGUGAAUAGAGAUUGAGGCUCGAGAGGACGGUGUUUCCAUUCCUUCCUUCGUUCCAGUGAUUGGGAACUCUAGUUUGCCUAAUUCCAGUGUACACCUGAUUCUGGCUCCCUCGUAUCAUCUUGGACGCACUUGAGUGAGUCUUAUCGGUUGUUGUUGAUUGUCCUGGGUCUGAAGUUGCACCUGUGCAAGGAUUCCGCUUGGAUCCACAAUGGGAUGCAACAAUGAAGAGGCCCAAUAUGUGAUGGCCAAGUAUGACUAUGUGGCUCAAGGGAACCAAGAGUUGGAUAUGCGUCGCAAUGAGCGGCUUCUACUCCUGGACGACUCCAAGCAUUGGUGGAGAGUGUCCAACUCUCGGCACCAGACGGGAUACAUCCCAUCCAACUAUGUCAGAAGAGAAAAACCUUCCAUUUUUGACAGUAUCAAGAAAAAAGUAAAGGGUAACAACACAAGCAAUUCUUCCAAUUCUCGAACAUUGCCUUCAUCAUCCACGUCAGCAUCUCAUCAAAAUGCGGGCUCUCCCAUCAAACCCUGCAGCAAAGACCCCAUUGGUGAGCCCAUCUCUUCUGCUAUAGUCAAAUACAACUAUCAAGCGCAGCAAUUAGAUGAGUUGAGUCUAGUCAAAGGUGCAAGGAUUCUCAUUUUGGAAAAGUCAGGUGAUGGAUGGUGGAGAGGUCAGCAUGGUAAUAAAAUUGGAUGGUUUCCUUCCAACUAUACUCAAGAAGAACUUGGAGACGAUGCGGCCCAUACAUAUUGUAUGGCAGAAAAUAUUUUGGACAUUAUGGUCUCACUCUAUAAUUUUAAAGCUCAAAAUGAUACUGAACUUUCCUUUGAAAAAGGGGAUCGAUUAGAGAUUUUGGAUCGACCUGCAUGUGAUCCGGAUUGGUAUAAAGCUCGUAAUACGCAAGGACAAAUUGGUUUAGUGCCAAAAAACUAUCUUAUCGAACUAAGUCAGUACUUGACUCAAGAUGUUAAUAAUGGUUCCACCACACAAACGAAUGGUGGACAAAUUAACAACAAUAAUAACAAUAGAAAUAAUGUCAGUGUAGAAAAUGCUAAAUCUCAAACUUGGUAUUACGGUCCGAUUUCUCGAUCGGAAUGUGAUGAGCUUCUCAAUGAUUGCGGUCAAGAUGGAGAUUUUCUUAUUCGGGAGUCAGAAACCAACAUUGGCGAUUUCUCUGUAUCAUUAAAGGCCCCAGGAAGAAAUAAACAUUUCAGAGUUCACGUAGAGGGAAAUUUAUUUUGUAUUGGCCAACGUAAAUUUGGAUCUCUCUUACAACUCGUUGAACAUUAUCAAAGGGCUCCAAUCUUUACGAGUUCAAGAGGAGAAAAAUUAUUCCUGAUUCGUGCUUUGCCCAAAUAAUGAUAAAAAAUAAAUAUAUGGUAUUCACAUGGAAAGAUUGGGAACACAGAAGAUUGUAAAUCAGGAAGAUAACAAAACAAAACAGACUCAACUUUCUUCCUUGUAUCUAUCAGCUCUAUUGUUUGAGCUAAUAUCCUUCUAUUAUUUAAUCAUCAUUGUCAACAUCAGCGGUUUUAUCACUUCCACCACUCCUUAUUUACUAUUAUUUUAAACGGAACGAGCCUUGUUUAACAAUUGUUUGAUUUAUUUAAAAAGAAACACACAAAAAACUGUGGAAUUACUGGUGCAUCGUGGUUUUAUACUUUUAUACAUUAAUUGUUUAGUUAAUAAAUUGAAUGGUCUCGGACAUGUGUAUGUAAUUUACUUGGCAAGGACGACUCAAAUACCUACAAUUAAAGAAGACAUCCUUAAUGUGUUGAUAAAUGAUAUUCUCUUUAUAAUAAGGACCCUAUUUUUUUCCCUGCAAUAUGUAAAUUACGAAUAUAUUAAGUAUUUAUGAUCAAAGUAAUGCUAUGGAACAACGUAAUCACUCUUAUCAUAUUUGUCUACUUGAUUUUUUAUUUUAUUUAUUACAUUGCUUCUUUUCAAAUUUCCCCCCAUUUAAAAAAAAGAAUAUUUUCUCGUGAAUGUAGUAAUACUACAUAAUAUAACCAAAAUUUACUAAGACUUUUUUAAAUCAAACUUUGGUCACUAGUGAUGUGUAAGCAGGAGCAUUCCAAUAAGUUCGAAGCCACUUCCUUAUUAUCUUUGUAACAAAUACUUUCUUCACCCCUAAUUAUAUUAAUAUAUAUAUAAAUGUUAA